CUCCUACGGGAGGCAGCAGUGAGGAAUAUUGCACAAUGGGCGAAAGCCUGAUGCAGCAACGCCGCGUGAGGGACGAAGGCCUUCGGGUCGUAAACCUCUUUUCUGGGGAAAGAGCCAGGACGGUACCUCAGGAAUAAGUCUCGGCUAACUACGUGCCAGCAGCCGCGGUAAAACGUAGGAGGCGAGCGUUAUCCGGAUUUACUGGGCGUAAAGCGCACGCAGGCGGUUCCGUUAGUCGGACGUGAAAGCUCCUGGCUUAACUGGGAGAGGCCGUUCGAUACUGCGGGACUUGAGGUUGGAAGAGGGGUGUGGAAUUCCCGGUGUAGUGGUGGAAUGCGUAGAUAUCGGGAGGAACACCUGUGGCGAAAGCGGCACCCUGGUCCACACCUGACGUUGAGGUGCGAAAGCGUGGGUAGCAAACAGGAU
rnacentral:rRNA from 1 species